rnacentral:rRNA from 1 species
UGCGCCUUGCCAGGCCCGCUCAGAACUCAAAGGAAUUGACGGGGGCCCGCACAAGCGGAGGAACAUGUGGUUUAAUUCGAUGAUACGCGAGGAACCUUACCUGGGCUAGAACGCAUUCGGAAUCAGGCCGAAAGGCCUGCGCCAGCGAUGGCCGCUUGCGAGGUGCUGCAUGGUUGUCGUCAGCUCGUGCCGUGAGGUGUCGGGUUAAGUCCCAUAACGAGCGCAACCCCUACUGCUAGUUGCCAGCGGGUCAUGCCGGGGACUCUAGCGGAACUGCCAGCGUAAGCUGCGAGGAAGGUGGGGAUGACGUCAAAUCAGCACGGCCCUUACGUCCAGGGCUACACACGUGUUACAAUGGCCGGUACAGAGGGCAGCCACCCCGCGAGGGGGCGCGAAUCCCGAAAGCCGGUCCCAGUUCGGAUCGGAGUCUGCAACCCGACUCCGUGAAGCUGGAUUCGCUAGUAAUCGCGCAUCAGCCACGGCGCGGUGAAUACGUUCCCGGGCCUU